rnacentral:rRNA from 1 species
AUUGAACGCUGGCGGCAGGCUUAACACAUGCAAGUCGAGCGGGGAAGGUUGCUUCGGUAACUGACCUAGCGGCGGACGGGUGAGUAAUGCUUAGGAAUCUGCCUAUUAGUGGGGGACAACAUUCCGAAAGGAAUGCUAAUACCGCAUACGCCCUACGGGGGAAAGCAGGGGAUCUUUGGACCUUGCGCUAAUAGAUGAGCCUAAGUCGGAUUAGCUAGUUGGUGGGGUAAAGGCCUACCAAGGCGACGAUCUGUAGCGGGUCUGAGAGGAUGAUCCGCCACACUGGGACUGAGACACGGCCCAGACUCCUACGGGAGGCAGCAGUGGGGAAUAUUGGACAAUGGGCGGAAGCCUGAUCCAGCCAUGCCGCGUGUGUGAAGAAGGCCUUUUGGUUGUAAAGCACUUUAAGCGAGGAGGAGGCUCCUUUAGUUAAUACCUAAAGAGAGUGGACGUUACUCGCAGAAUAAGCACCGGCUAACUCUGUGCCAGCCGCCGCCGUAAUAC